UACGUAGGGUGCAAGCGUUACUCGGAAUUACUGGGCGUAAAGCGUGCGCAGGCGGUGAUGUAAGACAGUUGUGAAAUCCCCGGGCUCAACCUGGGAACUGCAUCUGUGACUGCAUCGCUGGAGUGCGGCAGAGGGGGAUGGAAUUCCGCGUGUAGCAGUGAAAUGCGUAGAUAUGCGGAGGAACACCGAUGGCGAAGGCAAUCCCCUGGGCCUGCACUGACGCUAAUGCAUGAAAGCGUGGGGAGCAAACAGG
rnacentral:rRNA from 1 species